GUCUCAGGCCGUAUCAGCCUGAAGGCGCCCGAUCUCGUCUGAUCUCGGAAGCUAAGCAGGGUCGGGCCUGGUUAGGAUCUUGGAUGGGAGACCACCGGGGAAUCCCGGGUGCUCGAGGCU
rnacentral:rRNA from 1 species